rnacentral:rRNA from 1 species
GCUCAGAUUGAACGCUGGCGGCAGGCCUAACACAUGCAAGUCGAGCGGCAGCACAGGUACUUGUACCGGGUGGCGAGCGGCGGACGGGUGAGUAAUGCCUAGGAAUCUGCCUGGUAGUGGGGGAUAACGCUCGGAAACGGACGCUAAUACCGCAUACGUCCUACGGGAGAAAGCAGGGGACCUUCGGGCCUUGCGCUAUCAGAUGAGCCUAGGUCGGAUUAGCUAGUUGGUGAGGUAAAGGCUCACCAAGGCGACGAUCCGUAACUGGUCUGAGAGGAUGAUCAGUCACACUGGAACUGAGACACGGUCCAGACUCCUACGGGAGGCAGCAGUGGGGAAUAUUGGACAAUGGGCGAAAGCCUGAUCCAGCCAUGCCGCGUGUGUGAAGAAGGUCUUCGGAUUGUAAAGCACUUUAAGUUGGGAGGAAGGGUCGUUACCUAAUACGUGACGAUUUUGACGUUACCGACAGAAUAAGCACCGGCUAACUCUGUGCCAGCAGCCGCGGUAAUACAGAGGGUGCAAGCGUUAAUCGGAAUUACUGGGCGUAAAGCGCGCGUAGGUGGUUCGUUAAGUUGGAUGUGAAAUCCCCGGGCUCAACCUGGGAACUGCAUCCAAAACUGGCGAGCUAGAGUAGGGCAGAGGGUGGUGGAAUUUCCUGUGUAGCGGUGAAAUGCGUAGAUAUAGGAAGGAACACCAGUGGCGAAGGCGACCAC